UCAUCUGCUCCUCCAGGAUUUCCACGAUGCUGUGGUUGCUCAAGACCCUCUCUGUCCGGUCCAGCCAUGUCACAAUGAGCGUGAGAUACCCUGCUGGGAACCACAGAAGAUAACGAAUUAUUCUCACCACCACCACCUUCUCAUGUCUUCCAACUCUUAUCCUGGAGGAAUUCUGCCAUGCCUUCCCCAAUCCCUGAAAGUCUCUGAUGGAGAAAAAGCUCUUCAUGCAAUCCUGUGAAGGAAAACUCAAGAUUUUCGGUGCCCUUCACAAAGGAGAAAUGACAGGAGAGGGUAACAUCAGUGAAUGGAUGGGCCCGCAGCUCCUCUGUAGACACCAAGAAUGUCAAAGAAGAAAUGAAGUUAAUAAAGACCAAUCAGCACUGCAUCAGGAACAAGAGGCCGGGCGUGGUGACUUACACCUGUAAUCCCAGCACUUUGGGAGGCCGAGGCAGAUGGAUCACCUGAGAUCAGGAGUUUGAGACCAGCCUGGCCAACAAGGUGAAACCCCAUCUCUACUAAAAAUACAAAAAAUUAGCCAGGCACACAUGGUGGCGGGCUCCUGUAAUCCCAGCUACUCGGGAGGCUGAGGCAGGAGAAUUGCUUGAACCCGGAAGGUGGAGGUUGCAGUGAGCCCAGAUUGCACCACUGCACUCCAACCUGGGCAAUAAGAGUUAAACUCCAUCUCAACAAAACAAAACAAAACAAAAACAAGGAACAAGAAAAAAGAAAAACAACAAAGACAGAAAAAAAAAUCAUAUACUACUAAAGACAAGUAUAAACUAUCCCAAAACAGAAAAUUCUAGCAGUGCACACAGAUUUUGCAUUGUACCCUUUUCACCUCUGGUUUGUAGAAAAACAAUGAGAACUCUAAUGAACCAGCUCUAGGUGGCAACAAAGUGUAAAGGGAAUGUAGAUACCUCAACACUUCAGUCACAUUGUCAGUCAUUUGACUCUCCAGUUUACAAACACAGUCAACAAUUUCUCCCCAAUAAAUAGUCUCUCUAUCAAAAGAGCUUACCUGUAUUACAGCUGGUUCCUCUGAUCCACCAGGUGAGAAGCAAGUGAGGUGGAAUCAGCAUGUCUUUGAAGGGACACUUGUUGCUGUCCCCAGGGAAAGUGCUUGGUGAUACUGUUAUUACCAAAUUGUUGCUACAAAAGCUCAGCAAAGAGCUCCAUGAGACUUAAUAUUUCAAUGGCUGUAUUUGUUAGCUAAAAAAAAGUGUUUGCAAGGUAUUAUGGGAGAAGAAUGGAACAAAAGGAACUCCAUAAUUUUUCAAUGU